GACGAACGCUGGCGGCGUGCUUAACACAUGCAAGUCGAACGGUAAGGCCCUUCGGGGUACACGAGUGGCGAACGGGUGAGUAACACGUGGGUGAUCUGCCCUGCACUUCGGGAUAAGCCUGGGAAACUGGGUCUAAUACCGGAUAGGACUCCUGGCUUCAUGGUUGGGGGUGGAAAGCUUUUGCGGUGUGGGAUGGGCCCGCGGCCUAUCAGCUUGUUGGUGGGGUAAUGGCCUACCAAGGCGACGACGGGUAGCCGGCCUGAGCGGGUGACCGGUCACACUGGGACUGAGAUACGGCCCAGACUCCUACGGGAGGCGGCAGUGGGGAAUAUUGCACAAUGGGCGCAAGCCUGAUGCAGCGACGCCGCGUGAGGGAUGACGGCCUUCGGGUUGUAAACCUCUUUCAGCUAUGACGAAGCGCAAGUGACGGUAGUAGCAGAAGAAGGACCGGCCAACUACGUGCCAGCAGCCGCCGUAA
rnacentral:rRNA from 1 species